rnacentral:rRNA from 1 species
GACGUAGGGCGCGAGCGUUGUCCGGAUUUAUUGGGCGUAAAGAGCUCGUAGGCGGCUUGUCGCGUCGGCUGUGAAAACCCGUGGCUCAACUGUGGGCGGGCAGCUGAUACGGGCAGGCUGGAGUUCGGUAGGGGAGACUGGAAUUCCUGGUGUAGCGGUGAAAUGCGCAGAUAUCAGGAGGAACACCGGUGGCGAAGGCGGGUCUCUGGGCCACUACUGACGCUGAGAAGCGAAAGCGUGGGGAGCGAACAGG